rnacentral:rRNA from 1 species
AUUGAACGCUGGCGGCAUGCUUUACACAUGCAAGUCGAACGGUAACAGGCCGCAAGGUGCUGACGAGUGGCGAACGGGUGAGUAAUGCAUCGGAACGUGCCCAGUCGUGGGGGAUAACGCAGCGAAAGCUGCGCUAAUACCGCAUACGAUCUAUGGAUGAAAGCGGGGGACCGUAAGGCCUCGCGCGAUUGGAGCGGCCGAUGUCAGAUUAGGUAGUUGGUGGGGUAAAGGCUCACCAAGCCAACGAUCUGUAGCUGGUCUGAGAGGACGACCGGCCACACUGGGAAUGAGACACGGCCCAGAGUCCUACGGGAGGCAGCAGUGGGGAAUUUUGGACAAUGGGCGCAAGCCUGAUCCAGCAAUGCCGCGUGCAGGAAGAAGGCCUUCGGGUUGUAAACUGCUUUUGUACGGAACGAAACGGUCCUGGUUAAUACCUGGGGCCAAUGACGGUACCGUAAGAAUAAGCACCGGCUAACUACGUGCCAGCCGCCGCGGUAAAAC